UACGAGGGGUCCUAGCGUUGUUCGGAAUCAUUGGGCGUAAAGGGUGCGUAGGUUGCUAUUCAAGUCAGUUGUGAAAUCCCCGGGCUCAACCCGGGAAGUGCUUCUGAUACUGUUUAGCUUGAGUACUGGAGAGGAUAGUAGAAUUCCAGGUGUAGUGGUGAAAUACGUAGAUAUCUGGAGGAAUACCGGUGGCGAAGGCGGCAUCCUGGACCGAGAUUGACACUGAUGAGCGAAAGCCAGGGGAGCAAACGGG
rnacentral:rRNA from 1 species